rnacentral:rRNA from 1 species
UACGAAGGGGGCUAGCGUUGUUCGGAAUUACUGGGCGUAAAGCGCGCGCAGGCGGUCUUCCAAGUCAGUGGUGAAAGCCCGGAGCUCAACUCCGGAACUGCCAUUGAAACUGUUUAGCUUGAGGACGAGAGAGGUGAGUGGAAUUCCCAGUGUAGAGGUGAAAUUCGUAGAUAUGUGGAGGAACACCAGUGGCGAAGGCGACUCUCUGGUCUGUAACUGACGCUGAGGCGCGAAAGCGUGGGGAGCAAACAGG